UACGGAGGGUGCGAGCGUUGUCCGGAAUCACUGGGCGUAAAGGGCGCGUAGGCGGCGCGAGCAGUCGAUCGUGAAAGUCCGGAGCUCAACUCCGGAUCGGCGGUCGAUACUCUCGUGCUUGAGCACUGUAGAGGCAGAUGGAAUUCCGGGUGUAGCGGUGGAAUGCGUAGAGAUCCGGAAGAACACCGGUGGCGAAGGCGGUCUGCUGGGCAGUUGCUGACGCUGAUGCGACG
rnacentral:rRNA from 1 species